rnacentral:rRNA from 1 species
AUGGCGCAGCUCAUGGAGACCGCGUAUAUCGGCAAAUUAGGGGCUCUGGAGCUAGCGUCUGCUGGAAUUGGUGUGGCUAUUUUCAACAUCCUAUCCAAGAUUUUCAACAUCCCCUUGUUGAGCAUAGCAACCUCAUUUGUGGCAGAAGAUAUUUCCAAGAAUGCUAGCAAGCAUUCUACUUCAGGCAAACUGGAGCUGCCAUCCGUGUCGUCGGCUUUGGUUUUAGCUGCUGCGAUUGGUACAAUCGAAGCAUUGGCAUUGUUCCUAGGAUCAGGAUUGUUUCUUAAACUAAUGGGCGUCUCACCUGUCUCUCCGAUGUAUACAUCUGCGCGGCUCUUUCUUUCGCUGAGAGCCUUAGGAGCACCUGCAAAUGUGAUUAUGUUAGCAGUGCAGGGUAUCUUUCGUGGAUUCAAGGAUACCAAGACUCCCGUACUUUUUAUAGGUUUGGGGAAUCUUUCAGCUGUGGUCCUUCUUCCGCUACUUAUAUAUGGUUUUAAGCUUGGUAUAACAGGAGCAGCAAUUUCGACAGUCGCAUCCCAGUACAUUAUUGCCAUUUUGCUUAUGUGGUCUCUAAGUAAAAGAGCUGUUCUGCUUCCUCCAAAGAUGGACCAGUUAGAGUUCGGUGGAUAUUUAAAAUCUGGUGGCAUGCUAUUGGGACGAACCCUCUCAAUUCUGUUAACUAUGACCAUCGGUACAUCAAUGGCUGCUCGACAAGGCCCAACAGCUAUGGCUGCUCAUCAGAUUUGUUUGCAAGUAUGGCUUGCUGUAUCUCUGCUUGCAGAUGCCUUAGCAGUUUCUGCCCAGGCUCUGAUUGCAAGCUCUUACGCAAUACUGGACUACAAAAGGGUCCAGAAGGUUGCGAUGUUUGCUCUGCAGAUAGGACUAGCUAGCGGGUUAGCUUUGGCAGUUGGCCUGUAUAUCUCAUUUGGCAGUAUAGCAAAGCUAUUUACCAAUGACCCUCAGGUCCUAGCGGUUGUGAGCUCCUGUGCAUUGUUUGUCUGUGCCAGUCAACCAGUUAAUGCCUUGGCAUUCAUCUUUGAUGGCCUCCAUUAUGGCGUCUCCGAUUUUGACUAUGUCGCUCAAGCUACGAUUGUGGUUGGGGUGAUAUCAUCGUUGGUCUUGUUAUAUGCUCCACGUGUCUUUGGCCUGGCCGGAGUUUGGGCUGGUUUGACAACACUCAUGGGAUUGCGCAUGGCUGCAGGCAUCCUGAGGUUGCUAUGGAAAUCAGGACCUUGGUCAUUUUUGCACGAGGAACCUGCAGAAACCAAGGCCGGGCCGGGUGUGUUUGAAUCGAAUAUUACAGUUGCAGGCGCAGCCCUUUGCAUCAUAAGAAUUCGUGGCGAGCCAGCACAUGUCAGGUCGUAG